CAAUAAAUUCAUGGCACAUGGAGGAAACCAAAGCUGCCCAUGUGUGUCCUGUGCUCCUGUCUGUAGGGGUCCACUGGGCAACUGGGAGCCUGGACCUUGCUGUGUGUCAGGACUGGCUCUUGUGAGGAGAAACAAAUGGACAACAAUCUACUUAAUACAAGAUCCUGCUGAAAAGAUGAACCUGAGGGUGCAGCAGUUUGUUGGUUCUCAAGUAUCACAAGGUUACCUGUGGAUAGUUGGGUGGAUUUAUGGAAAAGAAGAGAAAAUGUUUGUGAAACUGAGCAAAUAAACAGUUAGCUGUGACCUAGUACCCUUAAAA